UUCUGGUUUAAGUGUGCAUGAACAGGAUGCAGUCAACAGUCACAGUGGCUGUGACGGGCUGAACCAUGUCCCUACGGAAGCCAUAUUGAGCCCUCACCUCCAGAAUGUGACCUCAUUUGGAAACAGGAUCACUGAUGUGAUUAUUAAGAUGAAGUCCUUUGGACUCUGUGGGAGAAGGCGAGGGUGGGAUGAUUUGAGAGACUGGCACUGAAACAUGUAUAUUACCAUAUGUGAAAUAGAUCGCCAGUCCAUGCUUGAUGCAUGAGACAGGCUGCUCAGGGCCGGUGCCCUCAGGGAUGGAAUGGGGAGGAAGGUGAGAGGAGUGGG
rnacentral:lncRNA from 1 species